GUUGGAGGAUAGUAGUAUAACACCCCAAUAGUUUCAUAUCGGAUGAGAUACUGAUUCUGAUUAGUUUAUAUGAGAUCUACACGCUAGUAAUAAUAACUGAGCUUAAACAUUUUGGGCCGAUUGUUUAGGCCUACGAGUUAUUAUUGCUGGCAAGUCAGGUCGUUACAACUAGCCUUUUAUUUUAUUUUUUUUUAUACAUUGACAUAUCAUGUCUUACAAACAGCCUCUAAGCUGGUGAUUAUCUUUAAAUUUAUAUUUAAUUAUUCGUUUUUGUAUGCUCUUACACUAAAAAAAAAAUCUUACUCUC
rnacentral:lncRNA from 1 species